rnacentral:rRNA from 1 species
UACGUAGGGUGCAGGCGUUAAUCGGAAUUACUGGGCGUAAAGCGUGCGCAGGCGGUUAUGUAAGACAGGUGUGAAAUCCCCGGGCUUAACCUGGGAACUGCAUUUGUGACUGCAUAGCUAGAGUACGGUAGAGGGGGAUGGAAUUCCGCGUGUAGCAGUGGAAUGCGUAGAUAUGCGGAGGAACACCGAUGGCGAAGGCAAUCCCCUGGACCUGUACUGACGCUCAUGCACGAAAGCGUGGGGAGCAAACAGG